AAUUAGAUGAGAAUUUUAGAUGAUUUAAGACAAUAUUUUUAAACAUGUUACAUCAAUCUUCUGAGUUGUUUAAAAGCAAGACAUUGUCACUCUCUACUGCUGAAUAUGAUGCAUAUAAUUUAUGAUACGUUCAGUGAAUAAGGAGGAGAAUACACAGAGGUUUUUAAAUAAAAUAAAUCUUAUUUAAAUUAAAAUCUAUAUGUUGGGUUGAGUUUAGGAGCAACUGAAUAAGUAGUAGAACGUAAUUUGGAGAGCAUAAUGGCAAAUUCAGGAAUUAUUUCAGUUGCUAGGUACUAUAUAAAAGGUGCCGAGAACAGAGACAUUGAAGAACUGUGUAAAGGCCAGUUACUUUAACCAUUUAGUUUUUAGUAUGUAAAGUAAGUAGAUUGCACAAAGAAUAUUUAUAAAUUACUUUUCAAGUUUAAGCAUUUUAUUCAAUCUGUGGGAAAAUUAUAAACUCUUGUCAUGCACUAAAGCAAAGAAUAUUAAAAAGAACAAGCAUAUUAAAAACUGUAAAAGCCUACAUUAUUUUUUAAGGAAGGAUCGCAUCUUGUUUACUCUUUGUUUUUUGUGGAAGCUAUUAUAAAAGAAAAUGAAUGAGUUAACAAAUUGGCAGAUAUUAUAUAUAUAAAAAUUAAUGAGCUAUUUAGCAAUUAAUUUAAAGGAAAAGCUUAUUAAUAACUUCAGUGGAUUACUUAUAGUUUUAGAAUUUGAAGGUUGACAAAUUGCAUCUCUAAUUCAAGUAAGAAAUAAAAUUUAUAAUGGGAAGUUAUGUCUUUGAAGAGUCAGUAUCUUACUGUUGUGUGCCCAUAAAAAGGUUCAGUUAACAGAGACAAGAGAAAUACUCCUUUGAUUUUUCCCAUUAUAUGAGCAAUGCAUGCUCAUUAUCACUUGUUAAAACUACAUGGUACAUAAAGAAAAAAAAGUUAGAUUUAUAGAUUAAUAGUAACAUGGAAUAAAUCCCUAACAUUCUCUCUUCCGUAUCCUUCUCUGAAAUUAUAAAAUGGAGAUGAAGAAGUUUCAACAUCGGGACCAUAAUUCAAUUCUCUCCUAACUACUGAUUACAAUUGUGGUGGAGAAAAAGGUGUUCCUGGAGAAAGAAAGAAGACCAGAUAUUAGAGUGGGAAAGAAAAGAACAUUGAAUUAAAACAAACGGUAACUAAAAUGGCAGAAAAAAAGCUUCAGGUAACAGCACGGCCACAGGGGGAUAGAGCACCAAGUGGGCCUGUGGGAUCGCCAAUUCCAGAACUUGACCCUUGGAUGGCAUUUCUGGAUCUGCGAUGGGGAAGACAGGAGCCCAUUGUCCUGAAAGGAUGUGUUCGCAAUUUUACCACUGCUUGAAGAACAGAAUGCUUAACAAGUUCCCAUCGUAAGGAUUAUCUGGAGGACACUGCAAAGAACUCCACCAGAGGAAAUAUUCAUCCCUCCAGACUUCAAACAAUUAAGAGCUAAUGCUUAAUUACUAGUUUGUACUCAUUAGAAGCGAGACUAUGGGAUGUAGUCAAGAAAUAUAAGGCAUUGUUUCUGCCCUCGGAGAGUCUAUAAUUUGAAGAAUAAAACAAACAUUAAAUGAUUACAAAAUAUUAUAUAUACUAAAAUAUGUAAAACAUAUAUUAUUAAAGAACCUUUGCUAGAGUGAGUUGUCUUUAAAUGUGAAAAAAGGAAAUAACUACAAUUAUUAAUCAACUAAGAUUUGCUAAUUAGGUCACACAACAUCUCUUUGAGUUAACUAGUGUUUUCUCUAAGGUACACUUCAGGGAGGUGUGCCCAUUUACACUGGCAUUAUAUGGCUUUAAGAACUUGAACCCAGGACUUGACAACUUCUUAGAAUCUUUCUCCCAAUCAUGAUCUAGCUAACUAUUCUGAAAUUCACUUAACUUCAAGUAGUGCCAGUUUACUCAAUGAUAUCUCUAUUAUGAUUUAAAUUAUUUCAUCCUCUCUUCUAGCAAAAUACCUAACUUUUAAUGGGAUUUUUGUCUUUAAUU
rnacentral:lncRNA from 10 species